UCUAGAGUUCGGGUAGACAAAGGGGACGGAGGUCUGCAUUGCACAAAAGCCAUGGCUGUUAGGAAGCAUGGGCCAGCUUCAUGGAGGAUGAACACAUGUGACCAAAUCUCUCGUCUGCUCCAGAGAGCAGAAUGCCUGCCUGUUCUGGAAGAUAAAUCUCACCUCUAAUCCAGUGCACAGCAACGUCUUGGGCAAAGGCAAGGGAGCCCUGAUACCGCGGAUGACAUCCAUAUAAAUCACAG